rnacentral:lncRNA from 1 species
UUUCACCACCGUUCGUCCUUCUAUCUACCUAAACAAGCAGUUGAUCGGUCCAUCAUUUUUAUAUGAACCUGCAAUCGCUCUUUAGGUGAAGAUGGUGGACCAUAGCGACGCAGACGUUCGGAACAGGUUCUGGUUAUUGGGGUUGGAGUAUGACGGCUUGGGAGUCACGGAAGUGUGGGGGAGAAGAAACAUUUGGAUUAGACAAGCCGACCGAUUAUAGAGGUUGUGUUAUGGCAGUAUAAAGAUAACAAACAGUUUUAGGCGGGGUGUUUGGAUGCACGAUUAAACCGAUAAUAGAUGUAUGGAGUUGCAAUUAUCAGUCUUGAGUAUCAGGUUUUAUGCUAUCUUGCUUGA